UACAGAGGUCCCGAGCGUUGUUCGGAUUCAUUGGGCGUAAAGGGUGUGUAGGUGGCGCUGUAAGUCGGGUGUGAAAUCUCGGGGCUUAACUCCGAAACUGCAUUCGAUACUGCGGUGCUUGAGGACUGGAGAGGAGACUGGAAUUCAUGGUGUAGCAGUGAAAUGCGUAGAGAUCAUGAGGAAGACCAGUGGCGAAGGCGGGUCUCUGGACAGUUCCUGACACUGAGACACGAAGGCCAGGGGAGCAAACGGG
rnacentral:rRNA from 1 species